GAUCCCUAGCUGGUCUGAGAGGAUGAUCAGCCACACUGGAACAGAUAUACGGUCCAGACUCGUACGGGAGGCAGCAGUGGGGAAUAUUGCACAAUGGGCGCAAGCUUGAUGCAGCCAUGCCGCGUUUGUGAAGAAGGCCUUCGGGUUGUAAAGCACUUUCAGUCGUGAGGAAGGUGGGUACGUUAAUAGCGUCUUCGUUUGACGUUAGUGACAGAAGAAGCACCGGCUAACUCCGUGCCAGCAGCCGCGGUAAUACGGAGGGUGCGUAAAUUAAUCGGAAUCACUGGGCAUUAAGCGCAUUAGGUGGUUUGUUAAGUCAGAUGUGAAAGCCCGGGGCUCAACCUCGGAAUAGCAUUUGAAACUGGCAGACUAGAGUACUGUAGAGGGGGGUAGAAUUUCAGGUGUAGCGGUGAAAUGCGUAGAGAUCUGAAGGAAUACCGGUGGCGAAGGCGGCCCCCUGGACAGAUACUGACACUCAGAUGCGAAAGCGUGGGGAGCAAACAGGAUUAGAUACCCUGGUAGUCCACGCCGUAAACGAUGUCUACUUGGAGGUUGUGGCCUUGAGCCGUGGCUUUCGGAGCUAACGCGUUAAGUAGACCGCCUGGGGAGUACGGUCGCAAGAUUAAAACUCAAAUGAAUUGACGGGGGCCCGCACAAGCGGUGGAGCAUGUGGUUUAAUUCGAUGCAACGCGAAGAACCUUACCUACUCUUGACAUCCAGAGAACUUUCCAGAGAUGGAUUGGUGCCUUCGGGAACUC
rnacentral:rRNA from 1 species